CCGCCAGAGAAUUACUAGUGAAAAACUUGAAACUCAAAGGACUUGGCGGUGUCCCACUUCGACCUAGAGGAGCCUGUCCUAUAAUCGAUACUCCCCGNUCAACCCAACCUCAACUUGCAUAUUCAGCCUAUAUACCGCCGUCGACAGUCUACCCCAUGAGGGCUUAAUAGUAGACAUAAUAGUUUCACCACUAACACGUCAGGUCAAGGUGUAGCAAAUGCUGAGGAAAGCGAUUGGCUACAUUUUUUUAAUAAAAAUAAACGAAAUGCAACAUGAAAUCAUGCAUGAAGGUGAAUUUAGCAGUAAGAU
rnacentral:rRNA from 1 species